rnacentral:rRNA from 1 species
UCGUCAGCUCGUGUUGUGAAAUGUUGGGUUAAGUCCCGCAACGAGCGCAACCCUUAUCCUUUGUUGCCAGCGAUUCGGUCGGGAACUCAAAGGAGACUGCCGGUGAUAAACCGGAGGAAGGUGGGGAUGACGUCAAGUCAUCAUGGCCCUUACGAGUAGGGCUACACACGUGCUACAAUGGCGUAUACAAAGAGAAGCGACCUCGCGAGAGCAAGCGGAACUCAUAAAGUACGUCGUAGUCCGGAUUGGAGUCUGCAACUCGACUCCAUGAAGUCGGAAUCGCUAGUAAUCG